rnacentral:misc_RNA from 1 species
GUUGAAUCGAGAAAUGAAGAUGAAUCAUCGACGUCUACGGCGGUGGUUAACGGUGGUGUAGGUGAGGAGGAGAGUUUGAGGGAUGAUGUGUAUACGGCAGCGGCGUAUGGGGAUAUGGAGAAACUUCAGAGAUUGGUGGAAAGUGAGGGUUGUUCUGUGUCUGAGCCUGAUGGUCUUGGUUACUAUGCGCUUCAGUGGGCUGCUCUUAAUAAUCGCACCGCAGCUGCACAAUAUAUUAUUGAGCACGGAGGAGAUGUAAAUGCUGCAGAUCAUACGGGGCAAACAGCAUUGC